GGGACUUAGGUUGGGUCCGAGUUGGGCGUUAUGAGUAAUCUUAAAAGAAACAAGAUGAGCAGCCGUUCGAGUCGCACACUUUAUGUAGGCAAUCUGCCUGGUGACAUACGUGAACGAGAGGUUGAAGAUCUCUUUUACAAGUAUGGGCCAAUUGUGGACAUUGAUCUGAAGAUUCCUCCUAGGCCACCAGGCUACUGUUUCAUUGAGUUUGAAGAUUCCCGUGAUGCUGAGGAUGCUAUCAGGGGUCGUGAUGGUUACAAUUUUGAUGGGCACAGGUUGCGGGUGGAACUUGCACAUGGUGGUCGUGGGAUGUCUUCAUCAACUGACCGCUAUAGCAGUUAUAAUGGGGGUGGAGGCGGACGUGGUGGUGUUUCAAGGCGCUCUGAGUAUCGGGUCUUAGUUACAGGAUUACCCUCAUCUGCUUCAUGGCAAGAUCUUAAGGAUCAUAUGCGCCGAGCUGGUGAUGUUUGCUUUUCGGAAGUUUUUCGUGAACGUGGUGGUACAAGGGGUAUUGUGGACUACACUAACUAUGAUGACAUGAAAUAUGCUAUAAGGAAACUUGAUGAUUCAGAGUUCCGAAAUGCAUUUUCACGUGCUUAUAUAAGGGUAAGGGAAUAUAUAUCUCGGAGUCGUAGCCGUAGUAAAUCAUAUUCCAGAAGCAGGAGUCCAGUUGGUCGUAGCCGCAGUUACAGUCGAAGCAGGAGCAGAAGCCGGAGCUUGAGUCGCAGCAGGAGCAAGUCUCCCAAAGCCAAAUCUCCCUCCAGAUCCCGAUCCAGGUCCCGGUCAAGGUCUGUCUCAUCACGCUCCCGUUCUGGAUCAAGGCGUCGCUCUAUGUCGAGAUGAGGGCUUAAGCGGCGAAUUGGGGAUUGCUUAUUAGGAACUUGGAAGGGAUUGAUGCAAAUGCCUGCAACUCUUUUGGUUGUGGAGUGGCUUGCUCAUAGGAGUCAAGGGACUGAGGAAUGGAUAGCAUUACGGAAAGUGGAAUUGGAACAUGUCGACCUAAUUUCAUCUUGCUAAUAGGAGUCAGCUUUGGAUUUGCGACGUUAUAGAAAGAUGUUCUUCAUAAGGCUUGAUGAUCCUGAAGAUGGGAGAAGUUCCUCUCUUCCUCUCUUUUAUCCCAAUAUCUCCCAACUGAAUUCUUUCUGGUGGAUCUUAAUUCCGUAACUGUUCUACAGUUUAGUGAUUUUACUGGAUAACGUGGAAUGGUAGCCAAUAUAGUUAUUUAUGUGAUGGCCGUUGGUCAAUGCUACUGAGGUCUUGUCUUCCUGUUUCAUUGGUAACUCUGACGUGGAAGAGGCCUCAACCCUUUUGGAUCAAGGUGUUAGAGGUACUUUAUGGAUAUUGAACUCAGUUUUGUGCAACUUUUGCAGAUCGCAGUCAAAAUCAAGAUCACCACAUGCUUCUCCACAGCACCCUGAACGAGCAAGCAAAAGCCCAAUAAAGAGCAGGAGUCCAUCUCGAUCCCGCUCUCCUGCUGCAAGAUCUAAUCGGAGCCGAUCUGUUGAUUCUAGGGACCGUU